CUAAGGAUGUUGUGCUUUCGGUUAUUAGUGGAAUCAAUUGUGAGUUUAGUUUCUCUCUUUUCUAAUUUUUUUGGAUUCAUGUAAUAUAAAUAGAUAUUAUUUAUUCGAACCAAAGAUGAAUUUUUUUUUUUGUAGCACGUGGUUUUGCGUAUGGACAGACGAGCAACGGAAAGACGUACACGAUGAUUGGAAUAACUGAAUACGCACUACCUGACAUAUAUGGAUACAUACAGAAGCACCAAGAAAGAGAUUUUGUGUUCAAAUUCUCUGCUAUGGAGAUCUACAACAAAUCGGUGAGAGAUCUACUCAGUGUAGAUAACACUCCACUAAGACUUCUCGAUGAUACAGAGGCACCGUAGUCGAGAUGCUGACAGAGGAGAUAUUAAGGGACUGGAGUCAUGUGAUUCAUCUCUUUUGUAUAUGUGAAGGUAAGAAAUAAGAAAACUGAUAUAUUUAAUUCGUAUUUAAUAUCUUGACUCCGUUGUUUCGAUUCUUGAUAAUUUGGAACCAUUGCUCCUAAUCAAAACGACUGUUACAUUUCUUAGGGCCUCGUUUGGGAACAUUCGAUAAAGCUUGAUUAUAUUGUCUAUCAUGCCUAAUCACGAUUGCCAAACAAGGCUUAAGAGUACAAAAUCAUCAUUUUUGUUAAUCCUUGCAGCUCAAAGACAAAUUGGAGAAACGUCCCUUAAUGACAUGAGCUCGAGAUCCCACCAAAUUAUUAGAUUGGUAUAUUGUGAUUUUAUUUAAUUUAUUGAUUAUUUAUUCGAUAACUUUUGUUAAUGAACAAUGUGGUUUGUCGCAGACUAUUGAAAGCUGUUCUCGUGACUUUUUAGGAAGGGACAAUGCGGGCACUCUUACAGUUGCUGUGGUAUGGAAUUUAUCUAAUAACAAAAAAAUAAUGGUAUAGCAUUAUUUAAUGUUUUUUAAUCGGAAAGUAAUUUUAUAGACAGAAUUUUGCUCAAUUUUCAAGCAAGUCGCCUGAUAUCUACUCCAAUUUUGUAUUCCAGGCCGCAGUUCCGAAGGUAAUUCAAUGUCUUUAUCUGCUCACAGUAACAUUUAUUUGUAUCUCUUUGCAUGAGCUGGAGUGCCGACUAUUAAAUAUUGAUAUAUGUUUACCCUUUUGAAUAUGCUUACAACAAUCU